UACGUAGGGUGCAAGCGUUGUCCGGAAUUAUUGGGCGUAAAGAGCUCGUAGGCGGUUCGUCGCGUCGGCUGUGAAAUCCCGAGGCUCAACCUCGGGUCUGCAGUCGAUACGGGCGGACUGGAGUUCGGCAGGGGAGACUGGAAUUCCUGGUGUAGCGGUGAAAUGCGCAGAUAUCAGAAGGAACACCGGUGGCGAAGGCGGGUCUCUGGGCCGAUACUGACGCUGAGGAGCGAAAGCGUGGGGAGCGAACAGG
rnacentral:rRNA from 1 species